rfam:Ovis aries breed Texel chromosome 3, whole genome shotgun sequence.
UCCCUAGUGGUUCAGACAGUAAAGCAUCCACCUGCAAUGUGGGAGACCUGGGUUCGAUCCCUGGGUUGGGAA